UGCACAGAUGAUUUGCACAAGGCAGUAUUAUGUACCUCUGUGUACCAACAGCAGAUAAAAACAACCAUAUUUGAGCUUUCAUAAUUUUCCCCGCAAUGUGGACCAUCGAAGAAAAUGGAUUCAAGCCAUCAGGAGAGAGGAAGGCCCACUGUUUAACGUCUCUAAUAGCACAGUCGUUUCUAGUAUGCAUUUCCAUAGCAGUGACCUGUACAAAACACCUAGUGGUUUUAACAAACCAGAGUUAAACAAGACGCGGUACCUUUUGUUUUUUCAUGGGUCUCUGACACAACCCAAGCCAGGAAGUCUGUUUUUGAGAGGACAACUGAAAGACUGGGGUUUGAUGUUCAUGAAGUCCAACAACCUUGUGGAAACGAAGUUGGUGUUGCUAGCUAGCUAAGCUACGGACCACGACUACGACGCACGACCAUCCCCUGGUAGGUGCAUUGGAUGCAGCUCACACGAGGAUAGUGGAACUGGAGGUGCUGGUGUUGUCACGUGAAACUUCAAUGAAGGACUCGUCUCACCAAAUCCUCUCCUCUACACGGAAAUGUCUGACUUGGUGUCAGUGACUGUCACACCAGGGAAGGCCAGUGACCGCAAGCUGACCUUGCACCUGGGUGAAAUUCCGGUGACUCAUUUUUAGUUGAGGUUUCUCCCCAACGAACUUGAUGUGAGGUGCCUCGUGAUGCUGGUGAUGUCUGGCCAUUUCACCUCCAUUAGUACAAAGUGGGGAACCUGCAAAGGAUCAACCACCUGACAAUCUAGGCUUGCACCCAGAUGUAUCAUAACGAUGCUGCAGUGGGAGACCUUGACCUACCAGAGAUCCACGUAGUGGUGGAGCACUUCUGGCUCCAGCCCCUGCCGCAUAUCUGCGGUUUGCCACGUUCCCUUGAAGAUCCUCCCUGCCAACCA